rnacentral:rRNA from 1 species
UGGGGAAUUUUGCGCAAUGGGCGAAAGCCUGACGCAGUAACGCCGCGUGGAGGAUGAAGGCCUUCGGGUUGUAAACUCCUGUCAGGAGGAACGACGGGGAGAGGGUGAUAAGUCCUUUCCUCCAGACGGUACCUCCAAAGGAAGCCCCGGCUAAUUCCGUGCCAGCAGCCGCGGUAAUACGGAAGGGGCAAGCGUUGUUCGGAAUCAUUGGGCGUAAAGGGCGCGUAGGUGGUUUUGUGUGUCUACCGUGAAAGCAUACAGCUCAACUGUAUUUUGUCGGUAGAAACUGCAGGACUUGAGGCUGGGAGGGGCUGGUGGAAUUCCCUGUGUAGCGGUGAAAUGCGUAGAGAUGGGGGAGAACACUCGUGGCGAAGGCGGCCAGCUAGACCAGUUCUGACACUGAGGCGCGAUAGCGUGGGGAGCAAACA